AGAUAACAUUAUUCUCUAGCAACCAAAGGAAAAUGCCAUGCUGACAGGUCAGGAGUGUGACUGGAGACCGUCACAAGUAAAAUAUGAUGACUGGUGUGACAAGUAUUCUGACGUAUCAGGUGGAAUGAGGUAAUAUGGCUGAAAUAUUGGUGGAGCUGAAGAAACUAUAAACAUAGAAGAGAAGGCUGCUUCCACAAAAAAAGGACACUUCUGUACCUAUAUGUAUCUCUAUGUUAAUUUAUAAUAAUAGGAGAAAAUGGAUGCAAAAGUUUAAGUAAGCGGAGUAAAAUUAAACCAGGAGAACAGAGUUUGCAGAACAGGAGCUUAAUAAACAGUGUAACUAAUCCUCCCACAUACUAUUGUAACAUUAAAGCUGAAAGAUGUGGAUGAAGCAGUGACAGAAACACAGACAAAAGAAGAACAUUAAAAUGAAGAUUUGGUUCCAAGCUGCAGAAGCAGUUGCACAAACUGAAGAAUAAAGAUGAAAUUUGAGAGAAAAUGCAGAAGCCUGAGUCAACAUUUAUUUGAAUACCAUCUGCCUAAUGCUGAAGAUGAUCUCCACACGCAGAGGUAAUCACACCUACAUCAUUUUGAUUUUCAGAACAAAGCCAUUUCUUUGACAAAGGGCACUUAUCACUCCAGACCUGAAAUGUUUUUUUGUUUUCUCCAGAAGCAGAGUAGUGCUGGGGGCAGCUUUGGGUAAAGGGAGAUUUGUUCCAAAUUAGGAACUAAUCUUUCAGGAAAGAAUAGCAAUGAAUAAAUUGUUUACAG
rnacentral:lncRNA from 7 species